CCUUUGGCCUCAUUCAUACACUACUAUACAGCUACCGAUCUGUUAGCAGUCAGCUGCUUGCUUAGGUUUAAUUUUGAUCUUGAAGGAGCUAGCCUUUGAUUUUGUUUAUAUCAGAGUAGGGUAGAAUCUGUAAAGCUCAGGAGGGAUAGCGCCAUGAAGAACAAAGGGUCUUAAUUGUAAUUUGUUAUUCAUUGGCGCUAUCCAUCCUGGGUUUCAUCGCUUCUUCUUACUAUCUCAUUCUCAUCGCAGCUGGUGCAGUAUUCUCUCAACUCCUGGAAACCCGAUCUAGCUUCGUUGUCUGCAGUUCAAGCUUCGCCGCUUUUUCAAUAAUGAAGUUUGGAGAGGUCAGUCACUGUGGACGUUGACUAGUUUCCAACCCCCUUCAGCUCACGGUCUCGUCAGUCAUCGCUUUCUUUUCUAAAAUUCUUUUAACUUCCUCAUUAUCAUCUUCAUCAUUCUCUCUCCCUUUAAAAACGUCUAAAUCCUUUUAUUUAAUGCUUGGUCAUUAUUAUAAGGUAGAAUUAACCAUCUCAGUCUCGAAGAUGAUGAUGCCAAUCGAAGUUUAGAGAUGGGAAAUUUAACAGAUUAAUGUAAUGCGUCUCUCUGUUCUAUACGCAAUAUGAGUCAUCUGGUUGGCCAUUACAGAUUUACAAGCAACGGGUACAGCUGGGAUGGAUUGUUUUUGGGUCACGGAGAGAAACUUGAUCUAACUUUAGGGUACAAAGUGUGUCUUGUUAUUUGGGGACAAAGGAACCAACUUACCCGAUAACUUAUUUGAGAUCCCCAACUAUGGCAUAGACAAUGAUGUUGAGAUCUUCAUCUUGGAAGAAGAAGAUAUGUAUAAUGUGCUUCAACAGCAACCCCCACCUAUGUUUGCCUCUUUAUAGUUCCCUUACCUCGGCCUCUAAACUAUGCAUAUGUUUAUUUAACUUCCAUGUGUAUAGGCUGGCUCUAAAAAUUUGCAUUUGUUUUCAUUCAAAGCGAUAUCCAAUUUAAUUGUAAUCCGAUAUACCAUUAGACAGUCAUAUAUAUGCAUACAUUUAAUGAAGUAUACAAAUUCAAUCUAA